rnacentral:lncRNA from 1 species
GUAGAGUUGGAUAUAUGAUCAUAAUACAUUAAAGAGAAAAUAAGGACGCUCUGGGUGAUCUCAAACUCAUAUCUUUUCAAAGAUGUUAUAGCCCUAUACUCAAAGAAAUUAUUUUAUUCCAUAAGAUAUAAUGGGAAAAGUGAGUAAAAGACAGAGAAUGCCUGACUGUGUUUAUGAGGAUGCAUGAGUUUUCACUCAAUCUGAGCAUGUAUAGUUGAGUAAAUAUGUAUAAAUGUUGUGUGACAAAAUUUAAUAACAGAUAAUGCAUGUAGCAAAUAACCAGGGACCAAGUCUUAUAUUACGUUCCUUACUAGCAAUAUCACAUUUAAUUCUUACAACUCAAUCCAGUAAACUGACAUUAUUAUAAUGUUCUUAAUUUAGAGGAGAUGGUAUGAAAGUACAUACUUGAUAAGUGAUCUGUGCAGUAUUAUACAGCUACUAGGUACUGAAACUGGUACUAAAAUCUAGCUCUGACCCUAAAAUCAAUGUUCUUAACUGGUGUGUAAAGGUGAGUGUGUGAGAAAUUGUAUAGCUGAUGAUGAAAAUGCGAAAUGUUACACACAUCCCAAAGAGUAGGUGCCACUAUAUUGGCACAACUUCCUAUGGGGAUCUCAAAAUUGAUCCUUUUCCUCAGGAAUAGCAUUUGGUCAAAGGCGCUGAGGAACUAGGCAAAGAGCUCCUUACCAGUAAACUACAUCAGGAGUGAAUGACGAGAUAUCAGGCUGAUGGUAAGAGGCAGUCUCUUCCCGCUCAAUAAGCACUGAGUUCUGCUGAUGUCUGCUACUCUGGAAAGGAGGUGGUAGUGCUGAUAAAAAUGUAUUUCUGCAUCUCAGUAUUCAGUCCCUUGCCACAAGCCAUGGCCAGAAGAUAGGUAGUCUUGUGAAAUUUCUGGGCAAACCCUGAUUGACCUACAAUCUUUCACAUGCCAAGUGAAUAGUAUGGUGGACAAAAAAUUUGGCAGAAAGAAGGAGUAAUGGUUUGAAGAUAGGACUAACUUCAGCUUUAUGGAAGAGGGAAGCACUUAAUGGAUAUACAUAGUGUUCAAGCGGUUCAAUGGAUAUAUGUGUUCAAGCGGUGAAUCUGUGGUGACCUCAUUCCUUGCUUGUUGGCUUGCUUGCUAAGUUGCUCAGUCAU